rnacentral:lncRNA from 10 species
CCAAGUGAAUCCCGUUUCGUUACAAAUGUCAGGUUUUCAGUGGAGAAGCCAUAUCCAUUCCAGGCAGAGUCUGACAUGGAGCCAGGGUGUGUGGGACCCAGGUGAGGCGGCUCCCACAGGGACACUGCACACCAAUCAGUCUUGGCCAGCCCCGACGUGGACCGGAGGUGAGGAACAGUGGGUAGGAACCCUCCGACCAUGGGCGCAGAACAACGCGGCAUGAUAAUCCUGGAGAUUGCUGUUCGUUUAAAGUGCAAUGUGCAGACUUGGUGCUGGAGGCGGAGCUGGGAAGCAGGUGUCUGAACGUGAGAUGGAAGCAUUUUUUGGAAAUUCACUUCCUCAAAUGCUCGGACUGGCUGUGGGCAGCGGACAGUUAAGGAUACCCAGUGAGGCCCCCAGAUCCCCAGCCAUCGGGCAGGGCCUGAGCCCACGGUGAGCCAGAAGAGGAUGGGGGGAAGAUCCCCAGGGUGAGCAGCUCUGGGGGCAGCAGGGAGGAGGGGGUGGCCCCGGAGCCGGCCCAGCACGGGGAGGGGGUGGUCCCUGCACGGGAGCCUCCGUGGGCUGCUGACCAGGUGGGAUGUCCUUGUGGGAGCCGGUCCAGAGGGAGGAGGUGCGGGGCUGGGAGGCACAGGGAGCCCUGCAGCCUGGCCUCGGCACCACGUCCUUCCCCCACUGUGACAAGUUCACACUUUCCUCUGCAGCCUCUGUGACUCGCCUCAGUUCCCCAGGACACUGUGGCGCCAUGGAGGUCUGUCCCCUCCCUCCUCCUCACAGCAGAGACCCGGGGGCAUGAGGCAGCGUCUGCUCCAGAGUGGGCCCGAUGGGCCUGUGGGCCGGGUGAAACCAUGUGCACAGAAAGCUUGCAGCAGACAAGAAACAUAGAAAAUGUCUUUUAUUCUCCACUGCUUUUCACACUCGAUGUCAGCUUUCAGCUGGCGGGAUCUGGAGUGAGCGUGUGAGAUGUUUCCCAGCGUGAGGGGAGCAGGUGCUGCGGUGAGCUCCCCAGGGCUGGGGUCGGAAUCCAAAGGCGCAGGGCGG